rnacentral:rRNA from 1 species
GUACACUCCUACGGGAGGCAGCAGUGGGGAAUUUUGGACAAUGGGCGCAAGCCUGAUCCAGCCAUGCCGCGUGCGGGAAGAAGGCCUUCGGGUUGUAAACCGCUUUUGUCAGGGAAGAAAAGGUUCUGGCUAAUACCUGGGACUCAUGACGGUACCUGAAGAAUAAGCACCGGCUAACUACGUGCCAGCAGCCGCGGUAAUACGUAGGGUGCAAGCGUUAAUCGGAAUUACUGGGCGUAAAGCGUGCGCAGGCGGUUAUGCAAGACAGAGGUGAAAUCCCCGGGCUCAACCUGGGAACUGCCUUUGUGACUGCAUGGCUAGAGUACGGUAGAGGGGGAUGGAAUUCCGCGUGUAGCAGUGAAAUGCGUAGAUAUGCGGAGGAACACCGAUGGCGAAGGCAAUCCCCUGGACCUGUACUGACGCUCAUGCACGAAAGCGUGGGGAGCAAACAGGAUUAGAUACCCCUGUAGUCCCAUGAU